rnacentral:lncRNA from 1 species
AAUUGGCACGUCUGGAGACGUCCCCGGCACCUGGCGAGGCGUCUCGCAGGGUCGGAGUCGACUCCCGACUCUGCGGAGUCGACUCUCUCAGAGACGGCAGAAAGGCCGAUUUCAAGGGAUGCGCGCGAGUCGUCUCCGAAGGACGCGGAGUCGUCCCCACGCAUAAAAAGCAAACUUCCCGAGACGUCCCCAGAAAGCGCGGAGUC